UGGAUGACUGACUCUGGUCGAGUUGUAUUUUGGAGAAGGUGCUUCGGGUGCGACGGCAGUCCAAGUCCCUUGGAAUUGGGCGUUCGAAAGGGUGAGAAUCCCGUAUGCGACCGCCCGUCAACCCCGUGUGAAGCCCUUUCGACGAGUCGAGUUGUUUGGGAAUGCAGCUCCAAGCGGGUGGUAAAUUCCAUCUAAGGCUAAAUACCUGCCAGAGACCGAUAGUGCACAAGUAGAGUGAUCGAAAGAUGAAAAGCACUUUGAAAAGAGAGUGAAACAGUACGUGAAAUUGUUGAAAGGGAAGCGCUUGCAACCAGACUCGUCCGUGGGUGUUCAGCCGUCUUUCGAGACGGUGCAUUGCCUGCGGAUGGCCAGCAUCGGUUUGGGGGGUCGAACAAAGGCUUGGGGAAUGUAGCCGCUUUCGGGCAGUGUUAUAGCCUCUUGCACCAUUCGUUCUGCCGGGACCGAGGAUCGCGCCUUGUGCUAGGAUGCUGGCGUAAUGGUUGCCAGCGACCCGUCUUGAAACACGGACCAAGGAGUGGACCAACUGCGCGAGUGUUUGGGCGCAAAACCCAUACGCGAAAUGAAAGUGAACGGAGGUGGGAGCCUUUGGGCGCACCAUCGACCGAUCCUGAUGUCUUCGGACGGAUUUGAGUAUGAGCGCAGCUGUUCCGACCCGAAAGAUGGUGAACUAUGCGUGAAUAGGGUGAAGCCAAAGGAAACUCUGGUGGAGGCUCGCAGCGGUUCUGACGUGCAAAUCGAUCGUCAAAUUUGCGUAUAGGGGCGAAAGACUAAUCGAACCAUCUAGUAGCUGGUUCCUGCCGAAGUUUCCCUCAGGAUAGCAGCAGCGAGCGAAACAGUCUCAUGAGGUAGAGCGAACGAUUAGAGGCCUUGGGGUUGAAACAACCUUAACCUAUUCUCGAACUUCGAAUAUGUGAGAAGUCCUUGUUACUUAACUGAACGUGGACACCUGGAGAUCGCGCAGCCCC
rnacentral:rRNA from 1 species